rnacentral:tRNA from 2 species
GGGCCCGUGGGUUAGCUUGGCUAUACUUGUGCAUUCGGGGUGCACAGACCCAGGUUCAAAUCCUGGCGGGCCCACCA